rnacentral:lncRNA from 1 species
AUAACCAAGAGCAACAAUCAGCAGCCAAAAGAUCAUGUGAACCAUCUGAGAGAGUAAGCAACAUCCAAAGAGAAAAAGAACAAUCAAUUAACCAAAUUGUGAGCACAAUCAAUAAAAAAAAAUCAAAUUGUAAACACUUAACUCACCAAACAAACAAAUUCAAACAAAUUUCCAAAUUAAUGGAACCAAACCAACGAAGCCAAAUCAAACCGAACCAAACGAAACCAAAUCAAAUCAAGACAUACAAACCAAUAAACCAAAGCGAACCAAUCAAACCAAAUAAAACAGAACCAAACCAAACGAACCAAAUAGACUGAUCUAAAUGAAACCACACAUAAUCAAAUCAAACAAAUUCAAAUGAACCAUACAAAACAAACCAAAUCAACUGAAAUUCACCAAAAUACCAACUCAAGAUAAGAAAC